rnacentral:misc_RNA from 1 species
UGAGAUCUCAUCUAGAUAUGAACAUUCUGAAGACGAUUCAAUGUAUGGCUGUGGUUCAGAUGAUGAAAAUAGGAAGAAUUUGUAUACUCAGAGCAGCAUACAAUAUAGCAAUGAAAAUGUUGAGAAUGAGAAUCCGCUGCUUAUCAAUUCAUCAGUAGCAUUUGGUUCAGAGGAUUGGGAUGAUUUUGAGCAAGAAACAGGGGGAGG